rnacentral:pre_miRNA from 1 species
CCCUUAACUAUUAAAAGUUUUGUUUUGGUCCUUUAACUUACUUUUUGGUUUUGUUUUGGUCCAUUAACUCUUCCUCCGUCACUACUUUGGUCCUUUAUGUUAGGAUGAAUGUAUUAGAGUUAAGGGACCAAAAUGAAACCAAAAAAUAAGUUAAGGGACCAAAACGAAACCAAAAAAUAAGUUAAGGGACUAAAACGAAACUUUUAAUAGUUAAGGGACCAAAAGAAAACUCAAAAAUAAGUUAUGGGACCGAAAUGAAACUUUUAAUAGUUAAGGAA